rnacentral:lncRNA from 1 species
ACACACAAUCUCGUCCCUACUAGAGAUGUUUUGCAACCAUGUGAGAGAGGAAGAGUCACAAGGAUCUUGGUGGCGAGGGAGGGCCAUGCACGGUGGAAGAGAAAAUUGAGAGCAACUUCAGCGAAAGAGUGUUCUACCAACGAAGCAAUAUGGCAAAAAUCCAGAUCCACAAUCUAUCGGCCAUCACCUAUCGUGCUCCGCAGCAACGCCUACGCCGCCACGGGCGGGAUCUGGAUCAACG